AGUUGCCUGGGAAACGUCAGAGCAGCGCAGGAGAUGGACAAAACAGCAAAACCUUGAACAGGGAGGGCUGACACGGGAGAAAAAUGAGUUUGCUCCUCAGAAAUGUGCAGAGACUCCAAUGCAGAGCUGGCUCUGCCUCUCUCCUCUCUCCCAGGUUCAAGUGUGCAGCUGCUGUCACUCAGAGCUACCUCUGCUGAAUAAUGUGAUCCUGCUCUCAUCCCUGCGAGGACACCAGUGCCAAGAAACCUAAGGUGUCCUGAUCAAUGCAGAAAAACAAGACCUGGCAGUUCUGCUCCUCCAGGAACAAAUUCCUUUAAAACUCAAGCCAUCAGAAGUGGAGCUUCCAUGAGGCCCAGGUAUCUCAUCCUGUGAGCACAUGGGAAGGAGGAGGAAGGCACAUGUCUCUACCUAACCCCCUGCCCCAGAGCAGGAAUGGGUGUAGCAGCCCUGCUGAGUCUCUGAGCUCACCCCAGCCGUGCUGAGCCCAUGGCUGUCAGUGAGCAGAGCAGCAGCAUCACAGGAUCUGCUGGAUGAUGACUGUUACAAAAAUCAGGAUUCUUGGAUUGAUUCUGCAAGACUCCACACAGGCCAGUUGUGACCCAGAAAAAGAGAAAUUACUAAAGCCAUGCUUUGAAAAGUGCUUGACUUGAGGCCCAUGGCUCAUCCCACUCUAAUCAUGCCCUGCUGCUCAGCACUGCAGAGAGUCCAUCUCUUAUUAAGGUCCUUAAAGACAAAAAAAAGGAUUUAUUUCAGCAAUUGUGAGGGUCCUCUCUGGCGCUACUCCUCAGGAGGAAAACAACUACCUGGGCAAGGAGAACUCUUGCUCCUCUUGCACUAAGUGCAGAGCCUGCAGGUUUUUCCCUGGGGAGUGGGGCUGAUGGAUGGGGUCCCUGUCCUGUCACAGAAAAUCCACACAGGGACACUGUCCCCUGUCCCUGUGAGAGGCACAUGAGGGAACAUCCCAGGCUUCAAGAUUCACCCCCAAGUUCCAAGAGCUGCAGCACACAUGGUGUGAAGCUCAUGGCCAACAAGCUCCGUAUCCUCCCAGAGCAAUGAGAGGUGGGCAAGCUCAGCGAGAAAAUCCAUGAGGCAUGAAUAUGAAAAUGCAGAGCCGGAACUGCUAACAUCCAUGAGAGAUUGUCAUGAAUUCUCUGAAUAAUUUGGCUGAGCAAACUCCCUGAUAUUCAUGUCUUGCAUGCUGCUGGAGUCCAUUGCUCUCCCAAGGCUUUAUGGGAACACCAUUUGUCCUGCAGUAAUAGGGCAGAAAAGCUGGAAGCUGGAGCUAAGAAUUUCACUUGCUCAAAUAAACAGGAACACAAAGGAAAGGAGCUGUGGUUGAAGUUCUGCUUCUCUUCCAUUCCCUCACCUCCAUGAGAUUCAGUUUUGCCCUUCCACAGUAUUUUCCAAAGAUGAUCAACACAGUUCUCUCUGGUGCAUGCAGCACAUUUCCCUUUUGCCCCAACCAAAGAAAAGAUCUACUUCAUACUCUGAAUCAUUUUCAAGAUGGUAUCCCAGCAACAAGCAUCCAGCAGUGUGUAUGUAAAACUGGCUCUACUUAGAUAAAUAGCAGAAAAGGCUGCAGUUUCUUUCAAAGACCCAAAUGACAUUUAAAUUUUCCUUUCAGAGACACGUAGUAAACGGAAGGAAUAAAUCAGCUGAUUCAGAAAGCAGCGCCUCAGAUUUUUUUUGCACACUUUGUCUUGUUUGCUAUCA